AGGGGAAUAUUGCACAAUGGAGGGAACUCUGAUGCAGCGACGCCGCGUGAACGAAGAAGGCUUUCGAGUCGUAAAGUUCUCCUAUAUGGGAAGAUAAUGACGGUACUAUAAGAAAAAGCCCCGGCUAACUACGUGCCAGCAGCCGCGGUAAUACGUAGGGGGCUAGCGUUGUCCGGAAUCACUGGGCGUAAAGGGUUCGCAGGCGGAAAUGCAAGUCAGGUGUAAAAGGCAGUAGCUUAACUACUGUAAGCAUUUGAAACUGCAUAUCUUGAGAAGAGUAGAGGUAAGUGGAAUUUUUAGUGUAGCGGUGAAAUGCAUAGAUAUUAAAAAGAAUACCGGUGGCGAGGGCGACUUACUGGGCUCAUUCUGACGCUAAGGAACGAAAGCGUGGGUAGCAAACAGG
rnacentral:rRNA from 1 species